AUGCUGGUGGCGUCAUUGCUGGGUCCAUGGAGGAGCCUGAGGCGGGGCUGCUCCCGUGCUGGGUGCUGGGCCUCUGCACCCUCAGCACAGUCUCAAGGACAGGACCGCUGGGCCCCAGCCACCACCAUGUCCCAACUUUCACAGACUCAGCCGUUUCAUACUGCCAAGAUGUCACCCCAGCCCACAGAGAAACAGGCCCCGAGCCCAUUGCCCCCUGAGACUUCAUUUCCCCAACUCACCGCUGAGCCCCUGUGUCCAGCCUCUCCACGCUCACCGGGCAUGCCAACAUCUCCCUACACUCAAGAAGGGACAGAGGGUGUCAGCGGGCUUCACACACAUGUGAGUAGGGGGAAAGGGCUGCAAAUACUCACAGGGACACCAGGCUCUCCCGAGGGGCCGGCCUCGCCCAGCUCUCCAGGUCUGCCCUGCGGGGGAGGGAUGAACCCUGAGUGCCUGCCUGCGGGGGAGGGCCCCUUCUGCCCCCAGGACCCAGAUUGUCGGCUGCGCCUUCCUCUCCCCAUCCCCUGGAGAAAGCAACCACAUACCAGUUCUCCUUUCUCACCCUUGGACCCUGCUCGUCCGGGGAGACCCUGUAGGUCAGAGGUCAGCACACAAGGUCAGAGGCAGAGCACCCUGAGAGUGAGGGGCUCCCGCAGCCUCCCUGGCCUUGAUGCAGAGACCCCACAUACACCCCUGCUCGGGGUAGAUGGCCACCCAGUAGCGGCACGCACUCACCGGUAGCCCGUUGGGCCCCUUCUCUCCCGGGGCGCCGUGGCGACCAGCUUCUCCCUGUGGGGUUUGUGGGACACGUACUGGGGUCCUGCAGGCUGAAUGCCCUGCGCACCCUCCUCCCUGCAGACCCCCAGGCAGGACCAACCUUCUCGCCAUCGAGUCCUGGCACACCAUCCCGGCCGUCCUUGCCUGGCAUGCCCUGGGGAUGGGACGGUGUGAGGCUGUGGGCCCCCUCCAGGCCCUGCCCUUCCCCACUGCCCUGUCGUGGGUCUACGCUCCCGGGCUCAGGCAGGUGGUGACCUGUGCUGCCCUCCAAUCAUGCAGGUGAAGGCAGGGAGGAUGCACCCAGACUCUUCACAGCACCCCAGGGAAAGUCUGCUGUGCCCGCUUUACAGACCAGGAGACUGAGGCCUGGGAGCCAGGAUCUGGCCUUCCUAGUCCCACAGGCUUGACCAAUUUUGGAACCACAGACAGAGCCACGUGCUGGGAGGGCGGCAGGAUGGCAGCCAGGGUCUCUCCCUCCCCUCCCCUCCUUUAACUCUGCCUCCCACCACCGGCUGUGCCACCCUGUCCUCUCAGGCUGGGGUGGGGGAGGAGCCAGGGCGCCAGGGGGAAGUGUGGGUCCAGGCUGAACGUGGGCACGGGGCUAGGAGAGCCUCACAGGUCACCCACCCCGCCCCACCAUGCGCUGGCAGCUGCAGACACUCACCGGCUCUCCACCGGGCCCAGACAUGCCGGGGAUGCCUUUAGGACCAGGCCUGCCCUAGGGGACACGGAGGGACCNNNNNNNNNNNNNNNNNNNNNNNNNNNNNNNNNNNNNNNNNNNNNNNNNNNNNNNNNNNNNNNNNNNNNNNNNNNNNNCCACGCGGCUGGGCCCCCUUCUCCUCUGGGGGGGGGGUGGGGGAGGAGCCAGGGCGCCAGGGGGAAGUGUGGGUCCAGGCUGAACGUGGGCACGGGGCUAGGAGAGCCUCACAGGUCACCCACCCCGCCCCACCAUGCGCUGGCAGCUGCAGACACUCACCGGCUCUCCACCGGGCCCAGACAUGCCGGGGAUGCCUUUAGGACCAGGCCUGCCCUAGGGGACACGGAGGGACCACAGUCAGGCCUCGGGGACUGCUCUCACAGGUGUGUCACUGGGUCCUGGGAGGGGGGCAGGAGCCUUGCCCACCACUUCCUAGACUCAGGAUUGGCUGGGGACAGCUGUGGGGGCCAGGCCCAACCCUUAGCAGAAAAGGGCCAUCAAGCAGGAGCUAUCUUAGGGUCUUGGGGAUGCUCUCAAGCUGGGGGAAGACGAGAUGGGUGUGGAGACAGUCACUUCAAUGACCUGAUUAUCAGAUGCCUGAUUAUCUCAGUGUCACUUAACCCGAGAGUCGUGUUUUCUGUUGCUCCAUCUCUCAGCUGGGCAGUCCUGGCACAAGGUCAGGCCUCACAGCCCAGGGCCUCUUGAUGGACGUCAGUGGUCCUCUGGCCCCUGCCCGGCCACUCCCAAGAGGAGCUUGUUAGGUGACAGUAGCUUCAAGGAGCCACAGGGGAAACAAGGCCGGGGCCUCCUGGGGAAGCUACCUGGGCUAGGGGGGAAGGCUUUUCUCCCCAGGUCGGCCCUGGCACUACCCAGGGGCUCCCCCUACCUCCACAGGAGGGCAGCCGCCCCAGGCCUCCCUAGACUUGCUGUCUGUGUGCCUCCCCCACCCCCAUGGACCAGGUUCUGCCCAGGAAGGACCCAGAGAACCCAGGUUCUCUCACUUACAAGGUCGCCCUUGGGGCCGCGGAACCCCUCUGGGCCCCUCUCUCCUCUGUCGCCCUGCAGUGACAAGGGGGGACAGGGAAAGAGUUAACAACGUGGGGGGCAGGUGACACUGCUGAGCGUCACAGAGGCCAGAGGGACCCCGACCACACCUCCACCUCACUUCAUGCCUGGAAACAGGGCGCAGAUCUCCCACGCGGGCCAGGCUGACUCCUCUGGGAAACUCACCCCCCCGCCAGGUGUGCCCAGUCAUUCCCCUCAGGCAUGCACAUAGGUGCCUGCCUAGGUGUGACACAUGUGUCCCCUAGGUGAGCCCAUGGGACAGUGAAGCCCCGGAAAGGGCUGGGGCAGCCCAGUGGGUCUGGGGAAGGCGACUGGGUGAGGAAGAGAGCAGAGAACAGAGCUGGGCCUGCAGGGGCCACCCCACUCACCCCCAGACACACACAUACCGCUUUCCCAGGGGCUCCUGGGAUCCCGGGGGGCCCUCGGAACCCAAUGGGACCCUGUGGAGGAGAAAGACCCUGAGCCUCUCAUCAGAAGCCUGAGGGCAUCCCUAAAGCACCCAGGUCCAUCUGGAGAGACCCUCCUAGGAGCUCCCCAGCAUUGGCCCCAUCAGCACCCCCGCUAGGGUCCCCAGGCCUUUUCCCCUCCCCACAUUUGCCAAGCCCCCCCCAAUGACCCCUCCCACCCCCCUGGACCCACAGAAGCCUUCACAGGCUCCAGUUUGGGGAACCAUCCAGUGAGUGGAGUCCAGAGAGCCUUGCCAUGGUCACGGGUGAGGACCCACACAUGGGGCCCACCUGACCUUUGGAGGUGGCCCCCAGUGCCUCUUCACCUCAGGCUGGCCCAUAGCCCCUCAAGGGGCAGA
rnacentral:lncRNA from 1 species